rnacentral:siRNA from 1 species
CUGAUGAAUCAUUCAGCUCAUCAA